rnacentral:rRNA from 1 species
AACGAACGCUGGCGGCAGGCUUAACACAUGCAAGUCGAGCGCCCCGCAAGGGGAGCGGCAGACGGGUGAGUAACGCGUGGGAAUCUACCCAUCUCUACGGAAUAACGCAUGGAAACGUGUGCUAAUACCGUAUACGUCCUUCGGGAGAAAGAUUUAUCGGUGAUGGAUGAGCCCGCGUUGGAUUAGCUAGUUGGUGGGGUAAAGGCCUACCAAGGCGACGAUCCAUAGCUGGUCUGAGAGGAUGAUCAGCCACACUGGAACUGAGACACGGCCCAGACUCCUACGGGAGGCAGCAGUGGGGAAUAUUGGACAAUGGGCGCAAGCCUGAUCCAGCCAUGCCGCGUGAGUGAUGAAGGCCCUAGGGUUGUAAAGCUCUUUCACCGGUGAAGAUAAUGACGGUAACCGGAGAAGAAGCCCCGGCUAACUUCGUGCCAGCCGCCGCCGUAAUAC